rnacentral:rRNA from 1 species
CCCUAUCCUUAGUUGCCAGCACGUCAUGGUGGGAACUCUAAGGAGACUGCCUAUGUUAAGUAGGAGGAAGGUGGGGAUGACGUCAAGUCCUCAUGGCCCUUACGCCCGGGGCUGGAAACGUGCUACAAUGGCCGGUACAAAGGGCUGCAAUACCGCGAGGUGGAGCUAAUCCCAAAAAACCGGUCUCAGUUGGGAUUGGAGUCUGCAACUCGACUCCAUGAACGUGGAAUCGCUAGUAAUCGUGGAUCAGCAUGCCACGGUGAAUACGUUCCCGGGUCUUGNACACA